rnacentral:rRNA from 1 species
GACGAACGCUGGCGGCGUGCUUAACACAUGCAAGUCGAACGGAAAGGCCCUGCUUUUGUGGGGUGCUCGAGUGGCGAACGGGUGAGUAACACGUGAGUAACCUGCCCUUGACUUUGGGAUAACUUCAGGAAACUGGGGCUAAUACCGGAUAGGAGCUCCUGCUGCAUGGUGGGGGUUGGAAAGUUUCGGCGGUUGGGGAUGGACUCGCGGCUUAUCAGCUUGUUGGUGGGGUAGUGGCUUACCAAGGCUUUGACGGGUAGCCGGCCUGAGAGGGUGAACGGCCACAUUGGGACUGAGAUACGGCCCAGACUCCUAUGGGAGGCAGCAGUGGGGAAUAUUGCACAAUGGGCGGAAGCCUGAUGCAGCAACGCCGCGUGCGGGAUGACGGCCUUCGGGUUGUAAACCGCUUUCGCCUGUGACGAAGCGUGAGUGACGGUAAUGGGUAAAGAAGCACCGGCUAACUACGUG